GACGAACGCUGGCGGCGUGCCUAAUACAUGCAAGUAGAACGCUGAAGGAGGAGCUUGCUUCUCUGGAUGAGUUGCGAACGGGUGAGUAACGCGUAGGUAACCUGCCUGGUAGCGGGGGAUAACUAUUGGAAACGAUAGCUAAUACCGCAUAAGAGAAGAUGUUGCAUGACAUUUGCUUAAAAGGUGCAAUUGCAUCACUACCAGAUGGACCUGCGUUGUAUUAGCUAGUUGGUGGGGUAACGGCUUACCAAGGCGACGAUACAUAGCCGGCCUGAGAGGGAGAGCGGCCACACUGGGACUGAGGAACGGCCCAGGACCCUACGGGGGGCAGCAAGAGGGAAUCUUCGGCAAUGGGCGGAAGUCUGACCGAGGAACGCCGCGUGAGUGAAGAAGGUUUUCGGACCGGAAAGCUCUGUUGUAAGAGAAGAAAGAGUGUGAGAGUGGAAAGUUCACGCUGUGACGGUAUCUUACCAGAAAGCGACGGCUAACUACGUG
rnacentral:rRNA from 1 species